rnacentral:misc_RNA from 1 species
AAUUCUCAACCAUUAUCAACUUUUGCUGAUAAUGGCUUGGAUGUGGGGGUCUAUUUUGCUGGCUUCUCAGAUAGUCAGCUCCCCUUAAAUGCAUUAGCCGGUGCCCCGCGUGGACUGUCUAUUGGUGUGAUAAUUAUCUACGCUAUGGACAUCUGCAAUCAUAUGGGUGUGCACUGCUUCCAGCAGUCUGUUAAAGACAAUACAUGACA